UUGAAAGGGAAACGAUUGAAGUCAGUCGUGCUGGCGCGAAAUCAACCUUCUCGUCUUGAGAUCACAUGGCGUGGCGAGCCUCAAAACCGUCACGAAGCGUGAACUCUUUGUGAAAUUGGAGCACUUUCGUGUCCGCUGGUUAACAUCAAUUUCGAACGUCAUAAAAAGGCUGGAGGGAUGUGGCUCCUUCGGGAGUGUUAUAACCUUUAGCGGAAUGGGUGUUCGGGAUUGAGGAUUGCAACGAAUACCUUUAGGGCUGUUCCACCUGGCUUCUCUUUGGUAUCCUGGUGACGACAGCUUGCUGACGUCGUUAGGAUUCGCCUUUGAACAGGUUAGAGUGUGAGCAAAUUCGUUAAGGAUGUUGACGUA
rnacentral:rRNA from 1 species